GGACCUUUAGCUCAGUUGGUGAGAGCAGACGGCUCAUAACCGUCGGGUCGUAGGUUCGAGUCCUACAAGGUCCA
rnacentral:tRNA from 6 species